AGAAGUUUAGGUUAACUAGACCAAGAGCCUUCAAAGCUCUAAGCAAGUAUAAUUCACUUAACUUCUG
rnacentral:tRNA from 1 species